AGAUACCCCACUAUGCUUAAGCACUACUAAGAUAAUUCCGCCAGAAAAUUACGAGCGAAAGCCUAAAACUCAAAAGACUUGACGGUGUCCCAACCUUCCUAGAGGAGCCUGUUCCAUAAUCGACAACCCACGAUAUACCCAACCAUUCCUAGACAUACUUCAGCCUAUAUACCGCCGUCGCACAGCCUACCUUCCAAAAGAAUAUAAGUAAGCUAAAUAGUAUUUUACUAAUAAGUCAGGUCAAGGUGUAGCUUAUGAAAUGGAGGAAAUGGGCUACAUUAUUUAAUAUUAAAAUAUACGAAUUCUACCCCUGACAAAGGAAAUGAAGGCGGAUUUAGCAGUAAUUUAAACAAGAAAACUUAAAUUAACACCAGCUCUGGGACAUGUACACACCGCCCGUCACCCU
rnacentral:rRNA from 1 species